rnacentral:rRNA from 1 species
UACGUAGGUGGCAAGCGUUGUCCGGAUUUACUGGGCGUAAAGAGCGCGCAGGCGGUUCAUCAAGUCGAAUGUGAAAGCCCCCGGCUUAACUGGGGAGGGUCAUUCGAUACUGCUGAACUUGAAGGCAGGAGAGGGGAGUGGAAUUCCCGGUGUAGUGGUGAAAUGCGUAGAUAUCGGGAGGAACACCCAUGGCGAAGGCGGCUUCCUGGCCUGUUCUUGACGCUGAGGCGCGAAAGCUAGGGGAGCAAACGGG